rnacentral:rRNA from 1 species
AUUGAACGCUGGCGGCAUGCCUUACACAUGCAAGUCGAACGGCAGCGCGGGGCAACCUGGCGGCGAGUGGCGAACGGGUGAGUAAUAUAUCGGAACAUGCCCAGAAGUGGGGAUAACGUAGCGAAAGUUACGCUAAUACCGCAUACGAUCUACGGAUGAAAGUGGGGGACCGCAAGGCCUCAUGCUUUUGGAGUGGCCGAUAUCUGAUUAGCUAGUUGGUGGGUAAAGGCCUACCAAGGCGACGAUCAGUAGCUGGUCUGAGAGGACGACCAGCCACACUGGAACUGAGACACGGUCCAGACUCCUACGGGAGGCAGCAGUGGGGAAUUUUGGACAAUGGGGGGCAACCCUGAUCCAGCAAUGCCGCGUGUGUGAAGAAGGCCU